rnacentral:misc_RNA from 1 species
GCAUCCCCAUACACCUGCCUAAAAGUUUCUAAUGCUGCCCCUAAGGACAAAUCCAUUGCAACCUCCCCCAUCAACUGCCUAAGUCUACUAGCCUUAUCCAACAAUCGAUUAAAAGCUGUUUCAACCUUCAUAUCAGUAUCCAAAUCGACUGGCUUCCCAUCAACACCAUAGAGUGGGCAUUUAUCUCUCACCUUGUGCAACGAAUGCCCUAAUUGUCUUGCCAAAAUUCCCAAUGGAUUUCCCAGAGUCCCUGUCAAAACACUCCCACCUAAAUCUGCCGAAGCAGUAACCUUAUUUCCUCC